AUGGGAAAGUUUGAGGGCAAUAUCAGGUCUGGAUGCCUAUAGAUGUUAUGGGCCGCACGCGCGAUACAUUGACAGAGCCAACGAGUUAUUCACAUUGGCCGGAAGGUCUGGGUAAUCUUGUUAAACUCAGUCGUGCUGGGGAUAGAGCAUUGCAAUUAUUGCUCUUCAACGAGGAAUGCCUAGUAAGCGCAUGUCAUCAGCAUGCGUUGAUUACGUCCCUGCCCUUUGUACACGCCGCCCGACGCUACUACCGAUUGAAUGGCUUAGUGAGGACUUGGGAGAGUACAUCGGGGAGCCAGCAAUUUCAAAAGACGGUUCAAACUCUUACAAACUGGUCAUUUUCUUUAAUUUCACU
rnacentral:rRNA from 1 species